GGCAAUGGACGAAAGUCUGACCGAGCAACCCCGCGUGAGUGAAGAAGGUUUUCGGAUCGUAAAACUCUGUUGUUAGAGAAGAACAAGGAUGAGAGUAACUGUUCAUCCCUUGACGGUAUCUAACCAGAAAGCCACGGCUAACUACGUGCCAGCAGCCGCGGUAAUACGUAGGUGGCAAGCGUUGUCCGGAUUUAUUGGGCGUAAAGCGAGCGCAGGCGGUUUCUUAAGUCUGAUGUGAAAGCCCCCGGCUCAACCGGGGAGGGUCAUUGGAAACUGGGAGACUUGAGUGCAGAAGAGGAGAGUGGAAUUCCCAUGUGUAGCGGUGAAAUGCGUAGAUAUAUGGAGGAACACCAGUGGCGAAGGCGGCUCUCUGGUCUGUAACUGACGCUGAGGCUCGAAAGCGUGGGGAGCAAACAGGAUUAGAUACCCUGGUAGUCCACGCCGUAAACGAUGAGUGCUAAGUGUUGGAGGGUUUCCGCCCUUUCAGUGCUGCAGCUAACGCAUAAGCACUCCGCCUGGGGAGACGCCG
rnacentral:rRNA from 1 species